GACCCCCUAGUUUGUACCACAGGCAGUGGUCCCACAUUUGCUCUAUAGAAAAAAGAGACAGAAUAAACCUGCUGUGUAACCUUCAGUCCAGGCCCAAGGCAUAGUUUUUAUUGUAAAUGGAGAGGUAGAG
ensembl:snoRNA